rnacentral:rRNA from 1 species
GACGAACGCUGGCGGCGUGCCUAAUACAUGCAAGUUGAGCGCUGAAGGUUGGUACUUGUACCAACUGGAUGAGCAGCGAACGGGUGAGUAACGCGUGGGGAAUCUGCCUUUGAGCGGGGGACAACAUUUGGAAACGAAUGCUAAUACCGCAUAAAAACUUUAAACACAAGUUUUAAGUUUGAAAGAUGCAAUUGCAUCACUCAAAGAUGAUCCCGCGUUGUAUUAGCUAGUUGGUGAGGUAAAGGCUCACCAAGGCGAUGAUACAUAGCCGACCUGAGAGGGUGAGCGGCCACAUUGGGACUGAGACACGGCCCAAACUCCUACGGGAGGCAGCAGUAGGGAAUCUUCGGCAAUAGACGAAAGUCUGACCGAGCAACGCCGCGUGAGUGAAGAAGGUUUUCGGAUCGUAAAACUCUGUCGGUAGAGAAGAACGUUGGUGAGAGUGGAAAGCUCAUCAAGUGACGGUAACUACCCAGAAAGGGACGGCUAACUACGUG